UGGUGAUGAAGUGAGGUGUCGAGGCUAACCUCAAGAAAAUCAAGACGGUCCUUGAUAUGAAGCCUCCAACUUCUCAACGGGAUAUUUGAAGAUUGGUGGGACUUAUUGCAUCCUUAAGCCGGUUCAUCUCUAGGUCUGUAGAGUGAUGCCUUCCCUUCUUUAAAACCCUCAGGCAGAUGAAGGACUUUACUUGGAUGGAGA
rnacentral:lncRNA from 1 species